UGCCAGCCGCCGCGGUAAUACGGAGGGGGUUAGCGUUGUUCGGAAUUACUGGGCGUAAAGCGCACGUAGGCGGACUGGAAAGUUGGGGGUGAAAUCCCAGGGCUCAACCCUGGAACUGCCUCCAAAACUAUCAGUCUAGAGUUCGAGAGAGGUGAGUGGAAUUCCGAGUGUAGAGGUGAAAUUCGUAGAUAUUCGGAGGAACACCAGUGGCGAAGGCGGCUCACUGGGCAACAACUGACGCUGAGGUACGAAAGCGUGGGGAGCGAACAGGAUUAGAUA
rnacentral:rRNA from 1 species